rnacentral:misc_RNA from 1 species
AACAGAACAGAACAGAAUAGAAUAGAAUAUAACAGAACAGAAUAGAACAGAAUAGAAUAGAAUAGAAUAGAACAGAACAGAAUAGAACAGAAUAGAACAGAAUAGAACAGAACAGAAUAGAACAGAAUAGAACAGAACAGAACAGAAUAGAAUAGAACAGAAUAGAACAGAACAGAACAGAAUAGAAUAGAACAGAAUAGAA